CCUACGGGUGGCAGCAGUGAGGAAUAUUGGUCAAUGGCCGGAAGCCUGAACCAGCCAAGCCGCGUGAAGGAAGAAGGAUCUAUGGUUUGUAAACUGCUUUUAUAGGGGAGUAAAAGUCUCCACGUGUGGGUAUUUGCAUGUACCCUAUGAAUACGCAUCGGCUAACUCCGUGCCAGCAGCCGCGGUAAUACGGAGGAUGCGAGCGUUAUCCGGAUUUAUUGGGUUUAAAGGGUGCGUAGGUUGUUUUUUAAGUCAGCGGUGAAAGUGCGUGGCUCAACAUCAGAACUGCCGUUGAAACUGGAAGACUGGAGAGCGUAUGCGGCAGGCGGAAUGUGUGGUGUAGCGGUGAAAUGCAUAGAUAUUACACAGAACACCGAUUGCGAAGGCAGCUUACUAGGCCAUAACUGACACUGAAGCACGAAAGCGUGGGGAUCAAACAGGAUUAGAUACCCCUGUAGUC
rnacentral:rRNA from 1 species